rnacentral:rRNA from 1 species
UGGGGAAUUUUGCGCAAUGGGCGAUAGCCUGACGCAGCGACGCCGCGUGUGGGAGGAAGCCUUUCGGGGUGUAAACCACUGUCAGAGGGGAAGAACGGCGUCGAUCCGAAUAGGAUCGGCGAUUGACGGUACCCUCAGAGGAAGCGCCGGCUAACUCCGUGCUAGCAGCCGCGGUAAGACGGAGGGCGCGAGCGUUGAUCGGAAUUACUGGGCGUAAAGCGCGGGCAGGCGGUUUGUUUAGUCGUUUGUGAAAAUCCGGGGCUCAACCCCGCGAAAUGCAGACGAUACUGGCAGGCUGGAGACCGGUAGAGGCUAGCGGAAUUCCUGGUGUAGCGGUGGAAUGCGUAGAUAUCAGGAAGAACACCUGUGGCGAAGGCGGCUAGCUGGGCCGGAUCUGACGCUCAUCCGCGAAAGCGUGGGGAGCAAACAGGAUUAGCUACCCCCGUAGUCC